UUUAACCAGUUGGAACGUCAUGGGUUCGAAUUAUUUCAUUGUUUCUCAAUUUUGUUUGUCACUAUCCCACCAACAUUUUCUUCAUUCAUUUAUAACCCAAAUCUUUGCUCUAUUGACAUACAUCAUAUAUAUAUCAGUACAUAUUUGAUAUGUUCAUGAUAUAUUGAAUAUUAUAUAUAACACACACACACAAGUAAUCCUCUUAAAUUAUAACAAUGAUGUUUUAAUUCUGACCAAAAUAAUUGGCAAUUACUCUCACUUGUUCAAGUUCCUUGUGUUGUCCGUGUCCAUCCAUGUAUAUAUAUAUGUAUUGUGUAUAUUAAAGAUAGGCACAACAAAUCAAACACUUAAAAAAGAGAGAUAUGUAUCAUACCCGAACCCGAUGCACAGUAUUUUAGGUACUUAGAUCUGUGAACUUCCAGACAUUCUAUUGAAACAAAAUUUAAGUUUACACAGAACAAUCAAAAUUUUAAAAUACCAAGAGAGAUAAUAAAUAGAGAAUUUUUCUAGUAGGAUGGCCCUAAAAAGUUUAUAAUCAUAAAUAUAGUACUGGUCAAAAUGACCAAAAUAUUUCAUUAAGAAGGUAAAUAGAAAUUUAUAACUCUAUGAUUAAUUAAUCUAAAUUGAUGGUUUAGAUUUGGAGGUGAAGUUUUGCAGCUGAGAUUUAGGAUUUUUAAAAAUAAAUAAAAAUAUUUAAAAUUUAAAAUAAUUUUUUUAAAUAGUUUCAAAUGGAUUUUUCGGAUUUAAAAAUAAGUUUUUUGAAAAAGUUUCAAAAAACCAAAAAUAUAAAGUUUAAAUUUAUAAAAGUGUUAUUAAAAAAUAAAAUAAAAACAAUUUUAAUUUAUUUUUUAUUUUUAUUAUUUAUUUAAAUAAUUAUUUAUAUUGCAUGAGAUUAUAGCUUAUGACAGUUUAAUACUACUAAAUUUUUGGUUUAAAAAUAAAAGAUACUUUCAUAUUUUAGGUUGUAUUUGAAUAUCCAAACUCAAAUAGUGUGUUUAGUCUAUGUGCCCAAACCUAUCGGUUUGUAACCUGAUUUUCUAGAUAUCUAAGAACUUGGAAAGAACCAAAAUGAAUCUCGAGCCGGUCCGGAACUAAAAUCCCUACAGAAAAAGAACAAUAUACAUUACAUGGACUUGUUGGGGGUUGUAGGUUCAUAAGAGCAUCUCAAACAGCCUUUUAUUCCUUUAUUUUUUAAAGUUUUUUGCAUUCAAACAGCCUUUCGUCCCUUCAAAUUUUAAAGGGGUAAACAGUACACCAUCAAAUUUAAAAAGGCACUGUAGCGGCCUUUAAAAUACUGUUUACUUUUCACUUUAGUUUUUCUAUUUAUAUAUGUUUAAUAAUUGUGUACCUAUUAUUUAUUGUUUGGCAUUCUACUAUUAUAACUAUAUUGGCACUUAAAUAUUAUAAUUGAGGUCUUAUAAAAUUAUUUUUAAAUAAUAAUAAUAUAUUAAUAAAUAUUAUAUACCAAUAUGUACUAAUAUUAAAAAAAUAUAAUAUAAACAUAUUAUUUCACAUAAAAUCUUUCGAAAAUUUUACACAAAUACAAAAUUAUAAUACAAUCAUAAUUAAAUAUGUUUACUAAUUAUGUCAAUACCAUAUAUUAAUAUGGGUUUAUUGUUAAUUAAAUAUGUUUACUAAUUGUGUCAAUACCAUAUAUUAAUAUGGGUUUAUUGUUAAUUUAUAAAAUUUUAAUGACUAUAAUGAAUUAUUACUGAAAUUGAGGACUAAAGUGUAACAUAUGUUUUUAAGAGAAAAAGUUUGAAGGUCACUAUUAGAAAAUCACCAUUUCAACCCUUUAUUUUAAGGGUGGAUCCCAUAAAAAAUGAAGGGGUUUGUUGGAGAUGCUCUAAAAAGUGACAUAGAGACAUGUCAGCAAUAAUUUCCAUUCAAAAGUUUACCCAUACCAAUGAUUAAAUCCAGUACGUUUGAAUUAUUACUCUUUACGUACCUAUUUAUAGUAAAGAACUAGAAUCUGAGAGCAUCAAUACCGUCGUCGCUUACCUCCGUAUCUUAAUAUUAUUAGCAUUAAAAAAAAUAUAUAGGUUAAAUGUGAAAGAACGUUUCUUAUUUAGGGGCUAUAAGAGACGGGUCUUCCCGGACACGUGUUGCCGUUUGGACGUUCAUCUCUUCGUCUCUCUUCUUCUUCUUUUCGAUUGAUUCUGUUCUUCUGAAAUUUUCCGACUUUCGUUCUUAAUUUAUGUCAAAUUUUCUCCAAUCGAAGACCUUGAAAUGCGUGGCCUUGAUCGAUGGAUUGCUGACGUAAUCAUAUCAGAAUCGUUGGAUCUCGAUGUUCAAAAUCAAAUCCUAGGAGGACUGUUUCUCGACGAGUCUCUUCCUUCUUCAUCCGUCUCCUUUGUCUCCUCUAAGAGCUGUUCAGUCAGUUCGUGUCGCUUUGUCCGAAAGUCGAGUGCUUUGAAGCUUAGAAGACGAAACUGAAACAGAGGACCUCUGUUUUCGUUAGUCAGUUUAUCUAUAAAUGAGAGUAAUGGCUAGGAAGACGAAGAAGGUGGUGAAGGGUAUAAUGGUCAACACGUGUACAAGUCUCCUCCGCUGAAGGAGAAUGGAUCAUGAGCUCUCAACACCACUAACCAUUUAUGGGCGGAGCUUUUGCUGCCAUGGUUUCAAGGUAAUAGUUUUGGUGUCAUAGGGAUUCAUUAGUUAGGCUAAAAGUUGUAGACUUUUUCAAGUGUUUGUGGUUACUACUUAAGUGAUAUGCUCAUUGGGUUAUAGGGUUUUGGUUUGAGCAGAACUUGCAUCGCACCACUUGAGCGGAUGAAGCUAGAGUACAUUGUCUGUGGAGAGCAAAGGAGUCUUCUUGGACUCAUUCAGGGAUUGCUACCACUGAAGGGAUUAGAGGCUUUUGGAAAGGGAACUUGGUUAAUAUUCUUAGAACCGCUCCUUUCAAGUCCAUCAACUUCUAUGCUUAUGACACAUACAGAGGCCAGAUUCUGAGCUUGUCUGGAAACGAAGAAACCACUAACUUCGAGAGGUUUGUGGCCGGUGCAGCUGCUGGAGUAACAGCUAGUUUGCUCUGUCUCCCACUUGAUACCGUAAGUUAGAAUCACAACAAAGACUUACCUUGAGUUUGUUUGGACUAUUCCUGAGGUUCUUUAGCAUUUAAAUUGCAGAUAAGAACGGUUAUGGUGGCACCAGGUGGAGAGGCAUUAGGCGGUGUGAUUGGUGCGUUCCGUCACAUGAUUCAAACAGAAGGUUUCUUUUCGUUGUACAAAGCCAGACUUGCCUUCAGAGAAAUGGUAUGUUGAUGUGAAUCUUACGGUUACAUAACCUUUUGUUUGGAUCAUUCAUUGACUCAGAUUAAGAUUCCUUUUCAAUAUCACAUAGAAAUCAAGAGCUACUGAUUAGUUCAAUAUCAUUGAUCAAUUUGAAGUUUUUUUAUUGUGCAUUGUGGUAAAGUUUGUUGCAAUGAAAGUGUUUUAUAAUUUUUUUUAAGAACCCAUAAUUAAGAAACUUGCAAUAAACCACUUAAAUGUUCAAAUCUCUUUCUAAGUCUCUUAACUCACUUUUACACUUUAAAAACUAUUAAAAAUUAACUAAGAGACCCUUUAAGGGGUUUUGGGAUAAUGAUGCUCUGAGAAACUUUCUCUCUCUAUAUAUAUAAACGUUUUUUUUGUAAACAAAUAUCUACAUAAACAUACUAUAAGCAAAAUACCUUAGGGGACUUAAUUAGUUACUUGUUGGAGUAGUUCCUGCUCGUAAAGUUUCUUUCGGUAAAUACCUUGAUCGAUGGAGAGUGAGUUACUUAAAUUAAACUUUUAAACAUUGUGUAGUACUGCCUGGUGUCACAAAUCGUCGUCUCCCCAUAGUUUUUUUUUAAACCUUGCAUAGUAAAUAUGAUCCGUUUUCAGCAGUAGCGCUUGCAAAAAUGGUGGAUCAACAAAUUCGAAACCAUUGCUUAUCUUUCUGUCAGCAAGGAAAUUUCAAAUUUGUAGCAGGACUGUCUUUGUGACAUGCCACAAGAUAAGGCGAGCUCCAACGUUGGGCUUUUAAUAAGUAUCUAAAAUUAAAAAAAUUAGAAAAUAUUGAAAAAAUUGAAAGAAAAGAGGAGGCGGUAUGGGUGCAGAGAUACUUUGCUCCUGAUUUUUUUUUCAUCAACUUAAAUAGACUCAAAUUGACUUUGUAAACCACAAUGGUAGCUCUCCAUCCAUGUGAACGAUGAAAGACGGUUGUUUCCUGGCACUACGUGCUAGACUGUCCGCCCUUAGAUUCUUCGUUCGUGGUACAUAGAUGAUUUAUGAGCUGAGGAAACUUUCUUUGAGAAUCUUGAUAUCUUCCAUAUAACUUGAAAAAGCGGGUCAUUCUUCUGGUUCCGAAACUAUCUUCACCAAUUGAGAACAAUUGUUGCAAACGUAAUUUGAAACUGUCGUAGAUUCCUCGUACAUUUCAUUGCCCAAACUAGUGCCAACCUCCGAGUGGAAAAGAGAAAGACUAGCCCUGACAUUUCUUGCCUCCAUCAAUCCAUCAAAACCUUAUAAAGUACUAUACUAACCUUGUCCUGAAAAAAACUCUUUAUCCUUGCAUGAACCAUCCGUAAAACACCAACGUGUUGGAAUAUGAGGUGACUGUACAUGAGGCUAGAUUCAUGCAUUAUAUAUAUGAUAAUGUAUGUAGUCAUAACCAUCCGAAUUUCUGUUCAUGAGAUAUUAUAGACAUAUCCAGAUCAAUUAAGUACUUUGGUGGAACUUUAAAUUUACUGUUUAGGAAGCUAGUUUUUCAAUCGAAUAUACUUUCAAUAAGAUAUGAUUGUACGUCUACAACAAGUCUACAGGACAUUCUACUGUGUACGUGAUUCAGUACCUAGGUAACAUGCAUCAAUAAUUUAUACUAUAUGCUUAUAUUUCAAGGAAAUCUACGGAUAACUUUAAUAUUAUAUACUUCGACGUGAAAAUGUAUUUGAUUUUUCGUUUGUGAUAACAAUGAUGGGAUUUUUUUCUUUGCUUAACAACCGAUAGAAUUUUUUAGACAAAAGUUACUUGCAAUACGAUAAGGAUCCCUCUUUUUCUAUAUCAAAGAGGAUAAAUGUUUUUGUACAGUAAAAGGGAUAAAAAAAAAAGGAUAACAUAUACCAGCAAGAAAAAAUAUAAAACGUCUGAAUUUCGAAUUACUAUUCUUCAUAUCAAUAAUAUUCCCAAUAUUACACCCAAAAAAAUUCCCAAUAUUAUAAUAAUGUACGAAUGCUGUGGUCGAAGUUGGUUUUGAACUGCUGGCUUUAUCCUUUGACGUUGGACGUAUGCUGAUCUACAUUUGAUGUGACACUGUAAGAUUAAGAUCUCUUUUAUUAAUGUAUCUAAAUGAAGAUUGGACCCAACACACGUGGGUUUUAAUGUCAGCAGAAUAUAUAUUUACUUUCCACGUUUAUUUUCUUUCUAUGAACUAAAUUUGUUUAGAUAAAAAAAAAUUGUUUAGAUUAGCCGAAUAAAGGAUGAUUAUCCGGAUUGCUUAACUGGGUUGCUUAGAUUAAUUUUGAUUUAAAAAAAAAAAAGAAAAUUACCUUUUAAACGAAGAACAGUUGCUUAAUUAGGAAGAGGAAGCACCGGCGCUUAUAAGACGAGCGUCAGACACGGAAGUCUCCUCCUCUCUCUCAUCUCAAUCUAGCUCUCUCCCGUGAAAUCAGAUGGCUUUGAUUCCAAAACGUGUGAUUGAUCUCGAACGGGAGAUUCGAUCUGGUACACUCCAUGUUUAGAACAACAAGGAGUCUUUUGGAAUCACUCCCAACAUCUUCACUUGUAAUCUCCUCGUGAAAGCUUUGUGUAAGAAGAACGAUGUGGAGAGUGCCUACAAGGUGCUCGACGAAAUUCCCGAGAUGGGUCUGGUGCCAAAUCUGGUGACGUACACGACUAUUCUUCUUUAAGCCCUUAAUUUUGUUGCGAUAUCAGAGGCUCUGCGCAUUUCUCCAUCUGUUGUAGCAGUAAUCAUUUCAAGCUUUAGAUUAGACAUGCUUUGAGAAGAUGGAAUUAACAACGUCAUCGUUUCCGUAUACUUUAAGUCAACAGCCAAUCGCUAGCGUCCAAACUCUCACAUCGUUGCUGGAAAUCUGAUGUCAAUUGCCGUUGUUACUGUGCUUUUCUGUUUGCUGGACGCUUGACGCAACGUCUUCGUCCCGAACAGGGCUAAUCUCAUAUGUUCUUGCUAUGGUUCUGCGCAUAUGCUUGUGUCUUAUGCUUAUUUUUUUUGAUCAAUUAUGCUUUGUGUCUAUGUCUCUUCUGUAUCUUCUUCUUAUGUUUAUAUAAUCUUCACUCUCCACUUGUAACAACACAAAACUCUUCUUCUC